rnacentral:rRNA from 1 species
ACGAACCUAGGUCAGUUGUGAUUACCCACUAGUUGAAGCAUAUUAAUAAGUAGAGGAAAAGAAACUUACUAGGAUUCCUCUAGUAACAAUGAGUAAAUCAGGAAAAGCAUAGCUUGAUAAUCGAGUACCUAUGCCAUCUGAAUUGUAGUUUGGAAAAACAUCCUCAGUGGUGGACUAGGACCAAGUCCCCUAGAAAAGGGUGCCAGAUAGGGUGAAAGCCCUAUUAUGCUUGGACCUUAUCACACCAUGAGGUGCUAUCUAUGAGUUAGGUUGUUUGGGAAUGUAACCCCAAUCAAGCAAUAAAUUUAAUCUAAGGUUGAAUAUAAGUAAGAGACUAAUAGCAAACAAGUAUCGUGUGUAAAAGAUGAAAAAAGCUUUAAAAAAAGAGUCAAAAAGUGUUUGAAAUUGUUAAAAGGAAAGAGGAUAGGGGAUAGCAAUGUACCAUAGUUGGAUAUGGAAUGACGAGAGUUAGUUCAUUGAUCAACUCAUGUUUAGAUUGACACGGGUUACGAUAGCAACCCAAGGCCAUGUUUUUGAUAUACCCAUGGAGACAUCAUUGUUGUAUUCAUAGAAUGCAGCACACACCAUCUUGGUGUGGCUUAACACCCAUGUGCUUCCAAAAUUGGCCUGUAGGCUCCCUAUCCGACCUAUCUUGAAACACGAAGCAAAGAGUUUGACAUUUGUGUGUGUCUACUAGCUAGAAAGCCUAUAAAGCACAAAGAAACUAAUUGGCAAGAUCUUUUACAAGUGCACUAUCAGCCAACCUUGAUCUUCUAAAAGGGUUCGAGUGUGACAUGCCUAUUAGGAUCCAAAAAAUGGUGAACUAUGCUAGAGUGGGGUAAAGCCAAAGGUAAUAUUAGUGGAGGCCCAUAUCAAUAUUGACAUGCAAAUCAUUUGUCUGACUUGGGUAUAGGGGCAAAAGACUAAUUGAACCAUCUUGUAGCUAGUUCCUUUUAAAGUUUCCCUUAGGAUAGUUGAAGCCUUUAGUGAGUUCUAUCAGGUAAAGCCAAUAAUUAAAGGCAUCAUGGGUGCAACACCUUCACCUAUUCUCAAACUUUAAAUAGUUAAGACGACAUGGCUACAGUUGCAUCCUAAAAUUGAAAGCUCUAAGUAGGCCAUUUUUGGUAAACAUAAUUGGUGAUAUGGUAUGAAUCAAAAGUUGGGUUAUGAUGCCUAACUGCACGUUAACCUAGAACCCACAAAAGGUAUUGGUCAAUUAAGACAAUAGGAUAAUGGUCAUGGAAGUUGAAAUUUGCUAAUGAGUGUGUAACAACUCACUUAUCGAAUCAACUAGUCCCAAAAAUGGAUGGCGAUUAAGCACGUGACUUAUACUCGACCAUCUGAGCAAGGGCCAAGCCUUGAUGAGUAAGAGGGUGUGGUGUGGUGGUCAUCAUAAAAGUUAGAGCAUGAGCCAAGGUAGAGCACCUAUCGGUGCAGAUCUUAGUGGUAGCAACAAAUAUUCAAAUGAAGACUUUGAAAGUUGAAGAAGGGAAAGGUUCUAUGUGAACAACAUUGCACAUGGGUUAGUCAAUCCUAAAAGAUGGGGAGAAGCCUAUCUAAUGAAUGUCUAGUGUGAGCUUCAAAAGGGUAUUAGGUUAAAAUUUAUGAAUCAGGACACGACAAUUGAUGGCAACGUUAGGGAGUCCAAAGAUGUUAGCACCAGCCUCAAGAAGAGUUAUCUUUUAUGUUUAAUGGCCUGUCCACCCUUGAAACGGCUCAAUUGAAGGUAGGGUCAAGAAGCUAGAAGAGCCUGCAUGUCAUAUGGUAUCUAGUGCACCCUUGAUGGCCCUAGAAAAUCUAAAGAACCACGUGUCAUCUAUGCCUAGUCAUACUCAUAACCGUAUCAGGUAUCCAAGGUGAACAACCUCUGGUCGAUGGAUAAUGUAGGCAAAUGAAGUCGACAAAAUGGAUCCAUAACCUUAAAAAAAAGAUUGGUACUAAGGGCUAGGCACGGGGUCCCAAUCCCAAACCCAUCGAUUGCUAGUGCACUACUUAAUCUACUCUUAUGGCUAGAAUAGGUCAUUACAUGCUGAUUGGGGGGUAGACUAUGAACAGUUCCUUUAGAGGCCUUCUUUAGGUGAUGAACAUUCAACUCAAAGCUAUUACAGACAAGGAGAAUCUGACUAUUUAAUUAAAACAAAGCACUAUAAUGGUUCUUAUGGAUGCUUACACAAUGUGAUUUCUAUCCAAUGCUCUGAAUGUUAAAGUGAAAAAAUUCAACCAAGUGCUUGUAAAUGGCAGGUGUAACUAUGGCUCUCUUAACGUAGCCAAAUGCCUCAUCAUCUAAUUGGUGAUGUGUAUGAUUGGAUUAAUGAGAUUCCUACUAUCCCUAUCUACUAUCUAGCAAAACCACAGCCAAAGGAACGGGCUUGGCAUAAUCUAUAAGAAAAAAAGACCUUAUUGAGCUCAACUCUAGUUCGACUUUGUGAAAUACCUUGAGAGUUGUAGGAUAAGUGGAAGCCCUCGGACGAAAUUGAAAUAUCACUACUUUUAACAUUAUUUUACUUAUUCUGUGAAUCAGGGAUGAGGCACAACCCCCUCUUUUAGACCCAAGGUUAGCCUCGAUCGAUCAAUCUAGGCAAAAGAUAUUGUUAAGGGAGAGUUUGGCUAAGGCAUCACAUCUAUUAAAAGAUAACAUAGGUUUCUUAAGAUAAGCUCAAUGAGAACAUAAAUCUCAUAUGGAACAAAAAGAUAAAAGCUUGUUUGAUUCUAAUUUUUAGUAUAAAUAUGAACCAUGUAAAUGUGGCCUAUUGAUCCUUUAAACCUUUAAAAUUUGAAGCUAGAGGCAUAAAAAAGGUUACCACAUGGAUAAUUGGCUUGAGGCAACCAAGCAUUCCUAGUGACAUUGCUUUUUGAUCCUUCGAUGUUGGCUCUUCCUAUUAUUGUGAAGCAAAAUUCACCAAGUGUUGAAUUGUUCACCUACCAAUAAUGAAAGUGAAUUGGGUUUAGACCAUCAUGAGACAGGUUAAUUUUACCCCACUAUGGUAGCAUCGAAAUAAUAAUUCAACCUAGCAUAAAAGUAACCACUGAUUUGCACAAUUGGUCAUCAUGCUUGGUUAAAAAGCUAGUGGCAUGAAGUUACCAUACGCUGGAUUAUGAUCGAACACCUCUAAGUCAAAAUUUGGUUUAGAAGUGAUACACGUGCCCAUAGCCCAAUUACCAUCCCUUAGUAGAGGCCCAUGUCCCCUAAAAACAUGUGUCAUAGGUGUAGCCCCUAUGGCAAACAAGCCACACAGGCCUCUUUGGAAUCAAACAAUGAAUAGAAUCUUUU